CAGGCUAAACUUAUGCAAACUCGAACAGAUAUGUUAGGGGGUGCGGCAGAGCAACAGGGGAAAAACUUUCGACUUGCUCUCAUAAAAUUUAAAAGAAAAUGCAUAGUUUCACUGGAAGCCAUCAACUCAGAUCGCCACGGCGACCGGAACACAACGGAGGGCAUUGUACCCUGCACGUCCAUUCAGGAAUCCGGAACCUUCUCCGCUCCGCGGACCCAGCCCGAACGACACACCACACUCGAGACUCCACCCACAGGAAACUCAAAGCCUGCGCUCAUGAAAGGCGCCGACGGAGGGUCUCUGAAACUGCACUGUACCUGGUCCACGUCCUCUAAACAAAUCAUCAGAAGGCACUGAAACCCUACAGGACAGUAGAUCUCCAGGAACGGGUUUGGGUACCACUAAGCUAGGCUGUCUGAGAACAGCACUUACUGCAUGCAGCUUAGACACUGGUUAAGCCUGCGAAAGGAGAAAGUCUGGAGUCCACAGAUGCAAAAUAAACCUGACGUGUUUUGAUUCUCCUGCGUCUUCACCAUAUGUCAUAUGUCAGUUAUUUUAGAAUUUUCUGAACUGAACAUUCUAAUGCUGAUGUAACGAUCGCUACUGGUAAUUGAAAGCAAUUGAGUUCUA